GACGAACGCUGGCGGCGUGCUUAACACAUGCAAGUCGAACGGAAAGGCCCUGCUUUUGUGGGGUGCUCGAGUGGCGAACGGGUGAGUAACACGUGAGUAACCUGCCCUUGACUUUGGGAUAACUUCAGGAAACUGGGGCUAAUACCGGAUAGGAGCUCCUGCUGCAUGGUGGGGGUUGGAAAGUUUCGGCGGUUGGGGAUGGACUCGCGGCUUAUCAGCUUGUUGGUGGGGUAGUGGCUUACCAAGGCUUUGACGGGUAGCCGGCCUGAGAGGGUGACCGGCCACAUUGGGACUGAGAUACGGCCCAGACUCCUACGGGAGGCAGCAGUGGGGAAUAUUGCACAAUGGGCGGAAGCCUGAUGCAGCAACGCCGCGUGCGGGAUGACGGCCUUCGGGUUGUAAACCGCUUUCGCCUGUGACGAAGCGUGAGUAACGGUAAUGGGUAAAGAAGCACCGGCCAACUACGUG
rnacentral:rRNA from 1 species